GUAUUUGGUAUACUAAUAACACAGCUGGUACAGAGCUAUAAUCAUUGCAACAGUUUAAGAUCACACAAACAUCGCAACUGCCAGAGAUUCGCUUUAAAUAACCUUGUAAACAUUCUAUGUGGUUAAAGUAUGCCAUCGUAUUACAAGAGGAAGUUAUCGAGAGGCUUGAAGGCUCUACAUGUUGACAAACACGGUUGUGGAAGUAGGAACUGAGCCUAGGCGUAGAGUUUCAGCCGUCAUUGCGGAUCAGAAUUUGAAAGGUGACCGUUCAAUACAAGUGGAAAACAAUACAAAGAAGCCACUGGGACUCAGUCAAGGGUGACCACGACCGCUUAAUAAAGGUGGCGCACAAAGAAGUAAAAAUUAAAAUACUUGAGGGAAAAAAGUUUCGGUACUUUGACAAGCGACCGCUUAUUAAUAGG